rnacentral:rRNA from 1 species
AGCAGCCGCGGUAAUUCCAGCUCCAAUAGCGUAUAUUAAAGUUGUUGCAGUUAAAAAGCUCGUAGUUGAAUUUCGGGACCAAUUUGUUGGUCGUGCCUCGGUACGUACUGGUAUUAUUGGUUUCUCCCUUCUGAAGAACCUCGAUGUCAUUAAUUUGGUGUCGUGGGGAAUCAGGACUGUUACUUUGAAAAAAUUAGAGUGUUUAAAGCAGGCAUACGCUUGAAUACAUUAGCAUGGAAUAAUGAAAUAGGACGUUUGAUUCUAUUUUGUUGGUUUCUAGGAUCGACGUAAUGAUUAAUAGGGAUAGUUGGGGGCAUUAGUAUUCAAUUGUCAGAGGUGAAAUUCUUGGAUUUAUUGAAGACUAACUACUGCGAAAGCAUUUGCCAAGGAUGUUUUCAUUAAUCAAGAACGAAAGUUAGGGGAUCGAAGACGAUCAGAUACCGUCGUAGU